rnacentral:rRNA from 2 species
GGGUUGUGAGGUUAAGCGACUAAGCGUACACGGUGGAUGCCCUGGCAGUCAGAGGCGAUGAAGGGCGUGCUAAUCUGCGAUAAGCGCCGGUAAGGUGAUAUGAACCGUUAUAACCGGCGAUACCCGAAUGGGGAAACCCAGUGUGAUUCGUCACACUAUCAUUAACUGAAUCCAUAGGUUAAUGAGGCGAACCGGGGGAACUGAAACAUCUAAGUACCCCGAGGAAAAGAAAUCAACCGAGAUUCCCCCAGUAGCGGCGAGCGAACGGGGAGGAGCCCAGAGCCUGAAUCAGCAUGUGUGUUAGUGGAAGCGUCUGGAAAGGCGCGCGAUACAGGGUGACAGCCCCGUACACAAAAGCGCAUGUGCUGUGAGCUCGAUGAGUAGGGCGGGACACGUGGUAUCCUGUCUGAAUAUGGGGGGACCAUCCUCCAAGGCUAAAUACUCCUGACUGACCGAUAGUGAACCAGUACCGUGAGGGAAAGGCGAAAAGAACCCCGGCGAGGGGAGUGAAAAAGAACCUGAAACCGUGUACGUACAAGCAGUGGGAGCACAGGUUUACC